CAGGUCACUCCUACGGGAGGCAGCAGUGGGGAAUCUUGCACAAUGGGGGAAACCCUGAUGCAGCGACGCCGCGUGAGCGAUGAAGCCCUUCGGGGUGUAAAGCUCUUUCGGCAGGGAAGAUGAUGACGGUACCUGCAGAAGCAGCUGCGGCUAACUACGUGCCAGCAGCCGCGGUAAUACGUAGGCAGCAAGCGUUGUUCGGAGUUACUGGGCGUAAAGGGUGUGUAGGCGGUUGUUUAAGUUUGGUGUGAAAUCUCCCGGCUCAACCGGGAGGGUGCGCCGAAUACUGAAUGACUUGGAGUGCGGGAGAGGAAAGUGGAAUUCCUGGUGUAGCGGUGAAAUGCGUAGAUAUCAGGAGGAACACCGGUGGUGUAGACGGCUUUCUGGACCGUAACUGACGCUGAGACACGAAAGCGUGGGUAGCAAACAGGAUUAGAUACCCUGGUAGUCCACGCCCUAAACGAUGCAUAUUUGGUGUGGGCAGUUCAUUCUGUCCGUGCCGGAGCUAACGCGUUAAAUAUGCCGCCUGGGGAGUACAGUCGCAAGGCUGAAACUUAAAGGAAUUGACG
rnacentral:rRNA from 1 species